rnacentral:rRNA from 1 species
UACCAGCACCCCGAGUGGUCGGGACGAUUAUUGGGCCUAAAGCAUCCGUAGCCGGUUCUACAAGUCUUCCGUUAAAUCCACCUGCUUAACAGAUGGGCUGCGGAAGAUACUAUGGAGCUAGGAGGCGGGAGAGGCAAGCGGUACUCGAUGGGUAGGGGUAAAAUCCGUUGAUCCAUUGAAGACCACCAGUGGCGAAGGCGGCUUGCCAGAACGCGCUCGACGGUGAGGGAUGAAAGCUAGGGGAGCAAACCGG